rnacentral:misc_RNA from 1 species
GGGGCUCUCACCUCUCCGUCCGCUUCCGCCGAGCAGUCAAGGUUGCUGCCGUUGCUCUUGUCGGUGUGUGUCAGUGCCGGAUUCUACAGCGCGUGCGCGUGUCUGUUUCAUCACGGCACCGUACAAGACGAGCACGCCGCGCUGUCUCUCCCGCCCUUUCCUCUUUCUCUCCACACUUCCACGCCCACACGCGCACGCGCCCACAUCCCUCGUUAAGCAAUGGGUGGCAAGCGCAAGAAGUCCAACAACGGGCCAGUCAAGAAGGAGAGCAAGUACAAGAUCCCCACCCGCUUUGACUGCCCGCUGUGUGAUACGAAGGCUUCCAUUGUCGUCAGAAUUUUUCGCGCGACUAGCGAUGCCACGGUGCGGUGCCGCGUAUGCGGAACGGGCGGGACGAAACGGUGGAAUGUGCUGCGCCUCGAGAAGCCAGUGGACGUGUUUUUCCGCUUCCACGAGGCGCUCAUUCAGCGCGAUCACGCCGACCUGCAGCAGGUAGAGAUGGGUCGCGAGGCGAAGCUGAGCGUUGGCGCGCCCAACGCCGACCUUGGUGGAAGUCACAGCAGCAUGGAAAAGGGGGCGUACUCUCCAGGGGACGCAGCCGUGGCGGGCUGGGCUCGGCUCGGCUCCUCUGCUGCCGCCGCUGCAACCGCGUCAGGGAGCUCGCAUUCGCAGCACGUGAGGUCUCUAGGUGAGCUGCAGCGCAAGCUGACUAUGCCAACGUGGCCGGGUUUCGCCACGGCGCCGACCGCCUCGUGUGCCGUCGACCUCCGCGACGACUACGAGGGCGAGGCGGAAGGAGCAGCAGCCCACUACUUUGCUCCUCGUCAAGAGGUACACAGCGCCGAGGAUGAGGAUGACGAGUACGACCAGCUGUUUCAGUGAGAAGGCUCGCUGCUGCUACGGUUAUUGAUGCCGAUGCUGCGUGUGUAAGGUACAGGGCGCCCUCGUGUGGACCCUCCGUUUGUUUGGUUUUUGUAUGCUUCGCAUCCUUGAAGAAGGGGAGACGAUCCCGUUGUGUUUGGGCGUGGUUGCUUACCGCUGCUUCUCAGCUGCUGCUGUUGCGGUGCCUCGCUGUGUGUGUGCGUGUGUGUACGGUGUGAUCCAUCAGUUUGAGGCAAUGCAAAGUCGAGUGGGCGAAACCAGGAACGUGGGAGACGGUGGAGUGAAGCUGUGCGCCCACAUUUGUGCGCGCGCCUCGGUGUGUGUGUGUGCACGUCUCUGCGCUGCUUCCUUUGCUGUCCCUACGACCUCCUCCUGUGGUACGUUUAUGGUCGCCGCUGAACACGUCGCCUUUUUCCUUCGGUUGUACGAUACUGCAUGCAUCUCCCUCUCAGUCUCGUGUGUGUGUGUGUGUGCGUGUGUGUGUGUGUGUGUGUGUGUGGAUGUGUGUUCAUUGUUUCCCAGUCGUCCGUUGGCGUAACCCAGUGAUCG